rnacentral:rRNA from 1 species
AGAGUUUGAUCAUGGCUCAGAACGAACGCUGGCGGCGUGGAUAAGACAUGCAAGUCGGACGCUGAUCGCCGGGUAGCAAUAUUCGGCGGUUGGAGUGGCGUAAGGGUGCGUAACACGUGGGUAAUUUGCCGUGAAGUCGGGGAUAACUCGCUGAAAGGCGAGCUAAUACCGGAUGUGGAUCUUGGGUGGCAUCGCUUGAGAUCUAAAGUUGGGGACCGUAAGGCCUGACGCUUCACGAUGAGCCCGCGGCCUAUCAGCUUGUUGGUGAGGUAACGGCUCACCAAGGCUAAGACGGGUAGCUGGUCUGAGAGGACGACCAGCCACACUGGAACUGAGACACGGUCCAGACACCUACGGGUGGCAGCAGUCGAGAAUUUUUCACAAUGGGCGAAAGCCUGAUGGAGCGACGCCGCGUGGGGGAUGAAUGGCUUCGGCCCGUAAACCCCUGUCAUUUGCGAACAAACCUUGCCUGUUAAUACCGGGCGAGCUGAUUGUAGCGAAAGAGGAAGGGACGGCUAACUCUGUGCCAGCAGCCGCGGUAAUACAGAGGUCCCAAGCGUUGUUCGGAUUCACUGGGCGUAAAGGGUGCGUAGGUGGUCGGGUAAGUCUGAUGUGAAAUCUCCGAGCUUAACUCGGAAAUGGCAUUGGAUACUAUUCGGCUAGAGGGUUGGAGGGGGGACUGGAAUUCUCGGUGUAGCAGUGAAAUGCGUAGAUAUCGAGAGGAACACCAGUGGCGAAGGCGAGUCCCUGGACAACUCCUGACACUGAGGCACGAAAGCUAGGGGAGCAAACAGGAUUAGAUACCCUAGUAGUCC